UACAGAGGUGGCAAGCGUUGUUCGGAAUUACUGGGCGUAAAGGGCGCGUAGGCGGCCUUCUAAGUCAGACGUGAAAUCCCCAGGCUUAACUUGGGAACUGCGUCUGAUACUGGGAGGCUUGAAUGCGGGAGAGGGAUGUGGAAUUCCAGGUGUAGCGGUGAAAUGCGUAGAUAUCUGGAGGAACACCGGUGGCGAAGGCGGCAUCCUGGACCGGCAUUGACGCUGAGGCGCGAAAGCCAGGGGAGCAAACGGG
rnacentral:rRNA from 1 species